CCUACGGGGGGCAGCAGUGAGGAAUAUUGGUCAAUGGUCGGGAGACUGAACCAGCCAAGCCGCGUGAGGGAUGAAGGUACAGAGUAUCGUAAACCUCUUUUGUCAGGGAACAAAGGCGGGGACGUGUCCCCGGCUGAGUGUACCUUAAGAAAAAGCAUCGGCUAACUCCGUGCCAGCAGCCGCGGUAAUACGGAGGAUGCGAGCGUUAUCCGGAUUUAUUGGGUUUAAAGGGUGCGCAGGCGGUCUGUUAAGUCAGCGGUCAAAGCCCGGGGCUCAACCCCGGCCCGCCGUUGAAACUGGCAGUCUCGAGUUGGAGAGAAGUAGGCGGAAUGCGCGGUGUAGCGGUGAAAUGCAUAGAUAUCGCGCAGAACUCCGAUUGCGAAGGCAACAUGCCGGCUCCAAACUGACGCUGAGGCACGAAAGCGUGGGUAUCGAACAGGAUUAGAUACCCUAGUAGUC
rnacentral:rRNA from 1 species